UCCACGCAGUAAACGAUGAAUGUUAGUCGUUGGGUCUCUAGUAGAUUCAGUGAUGCAGUUAACACAUUAAACAUUCCGCCUGGGGAGUACGGUCGCAAGAUUAAAACUCAAAGGAAUAGACGGGGACACUGGGAGGUGGAGCUAAUCACUUAAAGCGUCUCUCAGUUCGGAUUGAAGUCUGCAACUCGACUUCAUGAAGCUGGAAUCACUAGUAAUCGUAGAUCAGCAAUGCUACGGUGAAUACGUUCCCGGGUCUUGUACUCACCGUCCGUCACGCCAUGGG
rnacentral:rRNA from 1 species